AGGCAAUUUCCGGCCAAACCACGGCAAGUUAGACGUCGUGUGAGGGGCAAUUAUAGUGGCGUUUCUGUCUUCGCUAGCUGCGUGACUUUUCGACGGCGAAGUACUGACAUAGAAUCGAGGCAUACAAUCUCGGCAUCCAGGCACUU